ensembl:snoRNA
AUGGCCCUGAAUCAAGGCCGGCAGCCUCCUGACGCUGCUGGUUUCAAGCAGGAACCUGAAGAGAUGUCUUUCUGGGACCCGCGCCUUGCUGGGACCUGGAGCAGUGGAAAACUAA